rnacentral:rRNA from 1 species
CACGUAGGCGGCCAUGUAGGUCCGGUGUGAAAACUCGAGGCUUAACCUCGAGAUGUCAUCGGAAACCAUUUGGCUAGAGUCCGGAAGAGGAGAGUGGAAUUCCUGGUGUAGCGGUGAAAUGCGCAGAUAUCAGGAAGAACACCAAUGGCGAAAGCAGCUCUCUGGGACGGUACUGACGCUGAGCGCGAAGCGUGGGAGCGAACA